rnacentral:tRNA from 1 species
ACCUGGCUGGCUCAGUUGGUGGAGCAUGUGAUUCAUGAUCUUGGGGUCAUGAGUUCAAGCCUCAUGAUGGGUG